rnacentral:rRNA from 1 species
CCUACGGGAGGCAGCAGUGGGGAAUAUUGGACAAUGGGGGAAACCCUGAUCCAGCGACGCCGCGUGAGUGAAGAAGUAUUUCGGUACUUAAAGCUCUAUCAGCAGGAAAGAAAAUGACGGUACCUGACUAAGAAGCCCCGGCGAACUACGUGCCAGCACGCGCGGUAAUACGGAGGGGGCAAGCGUUAUCCGGAUGUACUGGGUGUAAAGGGAGCGUAGACGGCAGCGCAAGUCUGGAGUGAAAUGCCGGGGGCCAACCCCGGAACUGCUCUGGAAACUGUGAAGCUGGAGUGCAGGAGAGGUAAGCGGAAUUCGUGGUGUAGCGGUGAAAUGCGUAGAUAUCAGGAGGAACACCGACGGCGAAGGCAGCUUACUGGACUGUAACUGACGUUGAGGCUCGAAGGCGUGGGGAGCAAACAGGAUUAGAUACCCGAGUAGUC